rnacentral:rRNA from 1 species
UUUCCUACGGGGGGCAGCAGUGAGGAAUAUUGGUCAAUGGACGGAAGUCUGAACCAGCCAUGCCGCGUGCAGGAAGACGGCUCUAUGAGUUGUAAACUGCUUUUGUACAAGGGUAAACCUGAAUACGUGUAUUCAGCUGAAAGUACUGUACGAAUAAGGAUCGGCUAACUCCGUGCCAGCAGCCGCGGUAAUACGGAGGAUGCGAGCGUUAUCCGGAUUUAUUGGGUUUAAAGGGUGCGUAGGCGGUUUUUUAAGUUAGUGGUUAAACGUCGGGGCUUCACCUUGAUUUGCCAUUAAUACUGUAA